CCCUUAGAUGUUCUGGGCCGCACGCGCGCUACACUGAUGCAUUCAACGAGUCUAAAACCUGCUCUGAUAGGGGUGGGUAAUCUUUUGAAUGUGCAUUGUGAUUGGGAUAGAUGAUUGCAAUUUUUCAUCUUCAACGAGGAAUGCCUAGUAAACGCAAGUCAUCAGCUUGCAUUGAUUACGUCCCUGCCCUUUGUACACACCGCCCGUCGCUCCUACCGAUUGAAUGAUCCGAUGAAUAUCAUGGAUUGAGGAUGCAGGUAGGUUAGCCUAUCUUCAUCUUCGAGAAGUGAAGUAAAUCUUAUCAUUUAGAGGAAGGAGAAGUCGUAACA
rnacentral:rRNA from 1 species